CUUCCUCCUUCCUGCUCAGCCCAAAGGCAGGAGUCAUGGAACCCCAGGAAAGGACGGAACAGAACAGGACAGGGCCCCCAGCCCCAUCUUUAUCUCACCGGCUGCUGCUGGCUGCCAAGCCUCCCCUGAAUGGGGGAGGGUGGUCUGUGUGAGUCAGCGGAGGCACGAAGUGGAGGAAGACGGGAGCCUCUGCCAGGCCCGUUGAGCGUGGCCUCAGAAAUGCGCCGCUGGGUUAGGGUCUCCCCGACCGAGGCUCGAAUCCAGGUCGAAGGGUCGCCGGAGCGAUGGUUGGAGAAUGUGGAAGGAGCUGGAGGACACCCGAGUAUUCUUAAAGCAAUCCCCAUGGCCAGAUGUCAUCAGCAGCUGAACAGCAUUCCAGAAACCAGCUGCAAAGACAGAAGCAGAACAACUGGUUUGGUGGAGAGAUCUGAUAACAAAAAGUUGGGAAACAGGUAAAAUAAUAACUUGGGGUAGAAGUUAUGCUUGUGUUUCUCCAGGCCAAAAUCAACAGCUGAUCUGGAUACCAUCAAGACACCUGAAAUCUUAUCAUGAGCCAGAUGCUGAGGAAGAGACUCCGGGAGGAUCCCGAGGACGGCCCAGUUGCAGCCAUGUUGAGACUGACGCUGAGGAGGACCCCAACUGUCACGAGCAACACCUGUCGAACACAGCCACCCACCUGGGGACAGAUCAAGAAGCUGUCACAGAUGGCAGAAGAAAACCUGAGGAAAGCGGGACAACCAGUCACAAUGAGUAAUUUCAUGGUAGCUAUGAUAGCAGUUAUCACCACUGCUUCUGCAGAUGUGGAUCCUAACUCCUGCGAGAAGUAACUCACAGUGACAAAGCUGCCUUUGCUUUUAUCGAGUUGCAAAUCAAAGAAGGGGGGACAUGUUGGGAACAGGCCCCCCAAGAUCUGGCCAUAAACUGGCCCCAAAACUGGCUAUAAACAAAAUCUGCAGCACUGUGACACGUUCAUGAUGGCCGUGACGCCCACGCUGGAAGGUUGUGGGUUUACCGGAAUGAGGGCAAGGGACACCUGGCCCACCCAGGGCGGAAAACCGCUUAAAGGCGUUCUUAAACCACAAACAAUAGCCUGAGUGAUCUGUGCCUUAAAGACACACUCCUGCUGCAGAUAACUAACCAGACCCACCACUUUACUUCGGCCCAUCCCUUCAUUUCCCAUAAGGGAUACUUUUAGUUAAUCUAUUAUCUAUAGAAACAAUGCUAAUGACUGACUUACUAUUAAUAAAUAUGUGGGUAAACCUCUGUUGGGGCUCUCAGCUCUGAAGGCUGUCAGACCCCUGAUUUCCCACUUCGCACCUCUGAA
ensembl:lncRNA novel transcript